rnacentral:tRNA from 1 species
GGCCUCGUGGCCCAAUGGAGAAGGCCUCUGACUUGGGAUCAGAAGAUUCCAGGUUCGAGUCCUGGCGGGGUCG